GGAGAAGGCGGGUAGCUG
rnacentral:misc_RNA from 1 species